rnacentral:rRNA from 1 species
CCUACGGGGGGCUGCAGUGGGGAAUAUUGGACAAUGGGCGAAAGCCUGAUCCAGCCAUGCCGCGUGUGUGAAGAAGGCCUUCGGGUUGUAAAGCACUUUCAGUGGGGAAGAAAGCCUUGGGGCUAAUACCCUCGAGGAAGGACAUCACCCACAGAAGAAGCACCGGCUAACUCCGUGCCAGCAGCCGCGGUAAUACGGAGGGUGCGAGCGUUAAUCGGAAUUACUGGGCGUAAAGCGCGCGUAGGCGGUCUGAUAAGCCGGUUGUGAAAGCCCCGGGCUCAACCUGGGAACGGCAUCCGGAACUGUCAGGCUAGAGUGCAGGAGAGGAAGGUAGAAUUCCCGGUGUAGCGGUGAAAUGCGUAGAGAUCGGGAGGAAUACCAGUGGCGAAGGCGGCCUUCUGGACUGAAACUGACGCUGAGGUGCGAAAGCGUGGGUAGCAAACAGGAUUAGAUACCCGAGUAGUC